rnacentral:rRNA from 1 species
ACGCUAGCUACAGGCUUAACACAUGCAAGUCGAGGGGAAACGGCAUUUAGUGCUUGCACCGAAUGGACGUCGACCGGCGCACGGGUGAGUAACGCGUAUCCAACCUUUCCACAACAAAGGAAUAACCUGCCGAAAGGCAGACUAAUACCUUAUGUAAUCCUUUGAUGGCAUCAGAUAAGGAUAAAAGAUUUAUCGGUUAUGGAUGGGGAUGCGUCUGAUUAGCUUGUUGGCGGGGUAACGGCCCACCAAGGCAACGAUCAGUAGGGGUUCUGAGAGGAAGGUCCCCCACAUUGGAACUGAGACACGGUCCAAACUCCUACGGGAGGCAGCAGUGAGGAAUAUUGGUCAAUGGACGUAAGUCUGAACCAGCCAAGUAGCGUGCAGGAUGACGGCCCUAUGGGUUGUAAACUGCUUUUGUAUGGGGAUAAAGUCAAUCACGUGUGAUUGUUUGCAGGUACCAUACGAAUAAGGACCGGCUAAUUCCGUGCCAGCAGCCGCGGUAAUACGGAAGGUUCGGGCGUUAUCCGGAUUUAUUGGGUUUAAAGGGAGCGUAGGCCGGAGAUUAAGUGUGUUGUGAAAUGUAGACGCUCAACGUCUGAAUUGCAGCGCAUACUGGUUUCCUUGAGUACGCACAACGUUGGCGGAAUUCGUCGUGUAGCGGUGAAAUGCUUAGAUAUGACGAAGAACUCCGAUUGCGAAGGCAGCUGACGGGAGCGCAACUGACGCUGAAGCUCGAAGGUGCGGGUAUCGAACAGGAUUAGAUACCCUGGUAGUCCGCACAGUAAACGAUGGAUGCCCGCUGUUGGUACCUAGUAUCAGCGGCUAAGCGAAAGCAUUAAGCAUCCCACCUGGGGAGUACGCCGGCAACGGUGAAACUCAAAGGAAUUGACGGGGGCCCGCACAAGCGG